AAUGGAUUUUGGUGUGAUAUCAGUUGGUAGUACUGUCCCUGGCAAACAGACGCAUAACUGUGCAUUGUUCUUUGGGAUUUUGAGAGCCUUCAUCUCAAUUUCAACUUUAAAGCAGCUUAAUCUUUAAGGAACAUAUCUCUGAUCUGGGUAAUUUGUAGAACUUAAUUUGAGGGUCAUUACAUGUGAGGAUAGCAGGAGUUGAAGAUGCCAAGGACCUGAAGGGCUACUGGAGGGACAGGUGAAGUGAUUUGAAGAUGUAGCAUUUUGAAUCUCUUUCUGGCCCAUCCUCUGCUUCACACCAGAAUCAUUGUGACCUGUAGACCUGCAAAACAAAGGACCAAAGGUUAGCAUGCAGAAGUGAAAGUGUCAAUAAUAACCAAACCACUCCAUCAAGUUAGGUCUGGGGAAAAGCAGCAGCAAAAAUGAGUUCUUACUUCUGGGCACAAAAUGAAAGUAACAGACCUGAUUUACUCUGCGGGCAGCCAGCUGACUACCUUGUUGAAGAGAAACAUUUCACAACGCUUGUAUGCUUCAUUGUUGUUUUGGGAGGUGCACCAAAUUGUCUACCCUCUUCUAAGAACAUCAAGUUUUUCACUUUAUUCUUACUUUUCACCUUUAAUUAUAUUUAUGGUUGCUUUGGAUGUAGAAUUUUAUACACUCAAGAAAAUGUUUUGGCAGAUUUAGAAGAGAAAAGAUUUGAACAGAUUUGGGACACCAAGGAAGAUAUAUGGAUGGAAUAAAAGCACUUGGAAAGACGCUCAACAUCCUAAGUCAUUAGAGAAAUACACACUAAAACCACAAUGAGAUACCACUGUGUACCUAUUGGAAUAGCAACAACAAACCUGUUAAUGCCAAGUGCUGGUGAAGAUAUGAAGACAAUGAAACUUGCAUACAUUGUUGGUGAGAAUGCAAAAUGGUACAACCACUUUGGGAAACAGUUUGGGAGUUUCUUAUAAAGUUAAAUAUAUACUUGCCACAUGACUCACCAAUCUCACUCCUGUGUAUUUACCCAAGAGACAUGAAAACUUAUGUUUACAAAACCUUUAUAUGAAUCUGUAUAGCAGCUUUAUUUAUAAUCUCAAAUGUCUGGAAACAAACAUUCUUCCAUUGGUGAAUGAAUAAACAAAUCGUGGAACAUCUUUCAAUGAAAUAUUACUCAGCAAUAAAAAAGGAAUGGAGUAUCGAUAGGCACAACAAGGAAGAAUUUAAAAUGCAUUGUGCUAAGAGAAAUAAGCCAGCCUCCAAGGGGUACAUACAAAUUAUAAAAUUACAUUCAUAGACCUUCUAAAAAUGGCAAAACUGUAGGUCUGGAGAACAUCAUUGGUUGCUAGGGAAUGGUGUUGGGGAAAAGAAUUGACCACAAAGAUAUAGCAUGAGGAAAUUUUUGGGAGUGAUGUAUCUGUUUUGUUUCUUAGUUGUGGUGUGAUUACAUAACUGUAUGCAUUUAUCAAAACUCAUAUAACUGUACACCAAAAGAGUAGAUUUUACUGUUUAUAAAUUGAAAAUAAAGUUUUUAAAAGAAAUAUAUUUUGACUUUUUCUCACAUAUUAUUUCAUCAUUUUAUUUACAUGCUUUUUCUCAUUCUUCCUUUUCUGAAUUAAUU
rnacentral:lncRNA from 1 species